rnacentral:lncRNA from 1 species
AUGCAUGGUAGCAUCAUGGGAUGCUACCUCCUCCACAACAGGAAUCUAAAAAGAAAGGUGCCAUUGCUACAUCCAUCCAUAGUGCUGAAGGGAAACACUGGCCAGAACAGCAGUGCAAAUACUCCUCAUCAGACUGCCACAUGCGCACAGGUACAUUUCCAUCUCCUUAUCACCUCCCAUGGCUCAAGUGCAAGGAGACUCUGUUUUGCCAGGAAACACCGUGGUUUUAUUAGAUGUUGCCAAGCUGUCAAGCUGUGUUUCCAAGCUCUGUGACUCUGUAGUCUUUGAUGUUGUGAAUAAUGAGAUAAAUUCAAUCUAAUGGAUCACCUGCCCUUUCACUGGGAAAAACCACAUACUGAAGUCAAAUGACUUAAGCAGAACAGCUGGGGUACUGUGCAGAAGCAGACUGCCCAGAUGCACAGUAAAAUAGAGCUGGAAGAGACUUUACAAGGUACCUCAUCUUCUGUCUUAGGACAGCAUCUGCCAGAUCUAAGACUUUCCUUGCAUGUGUUUGUCAAAAAUUUUUUAAAACCUCCAAUGAUGGAGAUGUUAAGUCUCUCUGGAUAAUCCUUUCUUGUAGUAUUUUGCCAUCCUUCUCAUUCAGAUUUUUUUUUUUUUAUGUCUAGCAAGAACUUUUAUUGCUUCAGUUAAUAUUACUCUGUAAUGUUUGUCCAAGAUGAACAUGAAGUUUUUCUUUAGAGAAAUUCCUAUUCCUCCAACUUCAAUGUUUGUUCUUUUGGGGGAGUAAUCUCAAAUUUUCCUCAAAGCUAUGUUUUUGACUUUUGAUUAUCCAGAUCCCUGUCUUAUCCUCUCUUCCACUGGCAGGCCCUUGAAGUGUGGUGUUCAGAAUCUGACAUAGCUUGCACUGAGUUGUGGAAUGUUGACUAAAAUAAGUGGUGUAACUCUCAGAUCUUAUGCUUCUGCUGUACAUUUACCUUCUUCACAUGUAUAAGACAAUGUCACUGUUAAAAGAGGUUAUUUUAUAGAAGAUUACAAUUUCUAUACCCUUUUUAGACAAAAAAAGUCAUGUAACUGUUUGUUACCCAACUUGUAUUUGUGUGGCUGAACAGCAUCCAUCCUCUGCAUAGUUCCUAGCACCUGUUUCUCUUGAUGUUCAUUCCGCUAUUUUGGAACCUUCCUCCAGUUCAAAAAUUCUUUUCAUUUAUAACCCAGGAGUCCAACACCCUCGGAGCCUUUCCUAGCCUUGUGUAACCUCAUCCAUACUCUCCAGCCAUCAUUGGUCUGUCACGGAAACAGCAGGGGCAAGACUCAG